rnacentral:rRNA from 1 species
UACGUAGGGUGCGAGCGUUGUCCGGAAUUAUUGGGCGUAAAGAGCUCGUAGGCGGUCUGUCGCGUCGGUCGUGAAAACUUGGGGGCUUAACCCUGAGCUUGCGGUCGAUACGGGCAUGACUGGAGUCGGCAGGGGAGACUGGAAUUCCCGGUGUAGUGGUGGAAUGCGUAGAUAUCGGGAGGAACACCAGUGGCGAAGGCGGUUGCCUGGAGCUUUGGCUGACGCUGAGGCGCGAAAGCGUGGGGAGCAAACAGGG